rnacentral:rRNA from 1 species
AUGAUAGCGAGCGAUUUCAAUGAAAUUUUGUAUUCCCAUGAAAAAGAAGGUGGAGCACCGAGGCCAAUGCACAUGAUGUAGAACUUUAGAGAUGCUCUAGUUGACUGUGAGGUGGAGGAUAUGGGUUGUAGCGGUGAUCUGUACACCUGGAGAAGGAGGAGACUCAGGGAGCGGCUGGACCGAUCGGUAUGCAAUGGGCAGUCUCAUGGACUGUUCCCAAAUACAAAGGUCAUAAACACUGCUCAUAUAAAGUCGGAUCACAGACCACUUUUCAUCGAUACCGAGGGAGAUGCGCGGGUAGACUCUCAUACCCAUCGGAGAUGUUUUGGGUCGAGGUGGCUGCAAGAGGAUAACAUCAUGCAGGUGGUGUCUGAUGCAUGGGAACGUACAGACCCGAUGGCGCCAAUUGCAGAACGAACAGGGAGUGUCCAUUGCACUCUGCAUCAGUGGGAUCGCUCGAUCUUGAAGGCACCACAACGCAGAUUGAAGGAACUGAAGGAGGAGCUAGAAAAGUUGCGGUAG